rnacentral:rRNA from 1 species
UUGAUCCUACGGGGGGCAGCAGUGGGGGAUAUUGCACAAUGGGGGAAACCCUGAUGCAGCGACGCCGCGUGGGCGAAGAAGUAUUUCGGUAUGUAAAGCCCUAUCAGCAGGGAAGAAGAAAUGACGGUACCUGAGUAAGAAGCACCGGCUAAAUAAGUGGCAGCAGCCGCGGUAAUACGUAUGGUGCAAGCGUUAUCCGGAUUUACUGGGUGUAAAGGGAGCGCAGGCGGCACGGCAAGCCUGAUGUGAAAGCACGCGGCCCAACAGCGGGACUGCAUUGGGAAC